AAGUCGUAACAAGGUUUCCGUAGGUGAACCUGCGGAAGGAUCAUUAUCGAAAUAAAGUCUGAAGGGGGGAGACGAGUAGGUGAAGUUUGGAGAGUGUAGAGAUUGUCGCUGGCCUCCGGAAACGGGGGGCAUGUGCACGUCUUUCCUCGACUUAGUCCCUGCUCUCUUUCCUUUCGCAAACCUCAACACCUGUGCACCUAUUUGUAGGGGACCGAAAGGGGACCUAUGUUUUCAUCUCGCCCCAAACGUAUGUCUAUAGAACGUAUUUAAUGCGUCGACCGGCCUGGCUAAUGCCUUGUUGGCGACGGUAAACUAUUACAA
rnacentral:misc_RNA from 1 species